rnacentral:rRNA from 1 species
UACGGAGGGGGGUUAGCGUUGUUCGGAAUCACUGGGCGUAAAGGGCGCGUAGGCGGCCGAUUAAGUCGGGGGUGAAAGCCUGUGGCUCAACCACAGAAUUGCCUUCGAUACUGGUUGGCUUGAGACCGGAAGAGGACAGCGGAACUGCGAGUGUAGAGGUGAAAUUCGUAGAUAUUCGCAAGAACACCAGUGGCGAAGGCGGCUGUCUGGUCCGGUUCUGACGCUGAGGCGCGAAAGCGUGGGGAGCAAACAGG